rnacentral:rRNA from 1 species
UACGAAGGGGGCUAGCGUUGCUCGGAAUCACUGGGCGUAAAGGGUGCGUAGGCGGGUCUUUUAAGUCAGGGGUGAAAUCCUGGAGCUCAACUCCAGAACUGCCUUUGAUACUGAAGAUCUUGAGUUCGGGAGAGGUGAGUGGAACUGCGAGUGUAGAGGUGAAAUUCGUAGAUAUUCGCAAGAACACCAGUGGCGAAGGCGGCUCACUGGCCCGAUACUGACGCUGAGGCACGAAAAGCGUGGGGGAGCAAACAGGG